AAGUCGUAACAAGGUUUCCGUAGGUGAACCUGCGGAAGGAUCAUUACCGAUUUUAGCGGACCUGAUUUUUUGAUCAUGGUCUCGCGAAAACUUGUAUUUAAAACCCCACUCUUAUAAAUUGAAUCAUUAUAUAUGUAUAUAAUAAAUAAAGAUCACUUUCAACAACGGAUCUCUUGGCUCUC
rnacentral:misc_RNA from 1 species